GGGCCCUUAGCUCAGUUGGUUAGAGCAGGGGACUCAUAAUCCCUUGGUCCGCAGUUCGAGUCUGCGAGGGCCCACCA
rnacentral:tRNA from 1 species